rfam:Schistosoma mansoni strain Puerto Rico chromosome 3, complete genome
ACCCAGCUGACGAGUCCCAAGUAGGACGAAACACGCUUGCUGGAU